ensembl:lncRNA
GUGUGACUAAGUGGCUGCCCACGUCCAAUAGGGCACACUCAGGUGAAAACGUGGCACAGCUCAGGACAACCCUCUGACGUGUGCUCGGCCUUCCCAGAAGUACAGCCUCUCUAAGCACCUAGGCCUUCCUCUUCCCCUACCCCCAUCCCUAGAUAAACUCCAUCUAGGAACCCAGCCCAGCCGCUCUUGUAAAGAUAGCUUACAACACUGGCUAAGAAAACAAAAGCAAGUUUCUUAAAAAGGUAUUGUGCAGACGGAAGCGGCAUCUGUCUUCGGGUUCCUGUGGUUGGGGGUGGGGUUCCUUUGGUUUUGACCAGAACAAUUCUCCGCUGGGGGGGCCAGGCUCAGCGUGGCUUUGCAGAAGCUCAGUUACUGUACAGGAGUGAGACUGAACUUCACAGAGGUGCUCAGCAUUCUGCACUCCUACCAGCAGUAUAUGAUGGUUCCAGGUGGCACAGAGGUAAAGAAUCUGCCUGCCAAUGCAAGAAAUUCGAGAGAUACCCAAUGUUGAAUUCAUUGCCUGGGAUUCACAGAAGAAAAGGGAGCUUGAGCA